rnacentral:rRNA from 1 species
AUGUACCUCGACUCCCUGCUGCUGCCAACCGACAAAAAAGAAAUGCGGAAGAUUGCAAAGACAAUGGACAAGACCUCAUUACCACGAGCAAACCAUCUCAAAGAGAGUGACCUAGCGAAAAUAGCUAGAGCAGACAUGAAAAGGGACGGAAAAGCACGACCAGAUGACUAUGAAUUUGGCAAAAUACACAUAGCAGUAGAACAUCGCAAACAACAGCAACACCAGCACACGACCAAACUGCUACCACCUCCACCCAAACGCCGGCGCAAACCACGUGUCGGCACCAGUCGAAGCAGGGAACCAAACAAAAGCAUCAGCACAGGAGCAGAAGAAAGAUUCCAAAGGAUAAACAAAUUGUUGGAAAAAGUACUCCAUGAAGCAGAACAGAUACCCGCAGUAACCACCAGGGCUGAACACCAAUGCAACGAAAAGGAAAAGAUAUUGGAUGAAAAAAACAAGAACCUAGUCGUGCAACAAACAAUUGCCCUGAUGGAUUCAUUAGAACAACUCAGACAAUUUCAGGACAUAGUUUGCACAAGGUACCUGACAGACAACGCGACCCUGCAGACACUAGAGCAAGCAGAUCCAGCAGCCUCAAGUGGACUAGCCGAUGCCAACCGCACAAAUGAAAUCAUAGCCACAACAGAACCAAGAGAAAGGAGAAAAAAAAGAAAGAAGAAGAAGACGAAGAGAGGAAGAGAAGAACAAAAUCAAGGGACGAUGAACUCCAACAGCAGGAUGGUGUCAACAACCCCAAAAACACAAAUGAACGGAACAAACAAAGCAACCUCACAACAGACAAUGCUACAACAACAACUACCCCAACACAAGCACAAGAUACGAUCAACGUCAGAACCUGUGAAGAGACUCAGCUGA